rnacentral:rRNA from 1 species
UACGUAGGGUGCAAGCGUUAAUCGGAAUUACUGGGCGUAAAGCGCGCGCAGGUGGUUCCUUAAGUCUGAUGUGAAAGCCCACGGCUCAACCGUGGAGGGUCAUUGGAAACUGGGGAACUUGAGUGCAGAAGAGGAAAGUGGAAUUCCAAGUGUAGUGGUGAAAUGCGUAGAGAUUUGGAGGAACACCAGUGGCGAAGGCGACUUUCUGGUCUGUAACUGACACUGAGGCGCGAAAGCGUGGGGAGCAAACAGGG